UCACAUCUAACAAAAAAAAUCACAAACAAAAAAUCAUACUAUAUAAAAUCAAUUAAAUAUGUGUAGUUCAUCUUUCAUAGUUUAUCUCGUUUUAAUGACCAUUGUUUCUCCAAAUUUUCAUGUUAAAAUUGUGUGUAGUAUCACUUGUGCAACGAUGAAAGACACAGUGAAACCUUGUUCAGAUGUUGUCAGGCAACCAGAUAACAAAUGAAAUAAUCACAGAAAACCAUAAAAAUAACACUACAUAAUAUACACUAUAUAUUUCAUUUAAAAAUCUAUUAAAAUAAUAAACAAAGAUGAUUGUAAUAUAUGUGAAAUAGCCGGCUGGAGAUUUAGAGGGUGUAUUGAACCAAGAAUUUCAGAAGAUUUUGGGAUUUGAUUAAAAUUAGGAAACAUAUUCUUUUCUUUAUAACAAAAAAUAUAUUCCAUAAAAUUAAUGAAUGUAAUUUGCAUUUUGUUACAAAAAUAUUUGUUACCAUAAUUAAAGAUGUCACACAAGAUUCUCACAUCUUUCAGUAAUAAUUGCAUUGGUGAAUUAAUAAUUUAUAUUUAAUGCAAUUUUUAUGAUUUUGGUACCAUAUCAUUCCACAGUAAUAUUUAAUAUAUCUUUUUAUUUUAGGUGGUCAAGAUUUUCACAAAUUUGUAUAAAUAUACCUACCACAUCUAACAAAAAAAAAAUCACAAACAAAAAAUCAUACUACAUAAAACCAAUUAAAUAUGUGUAAUUCAGCUUUCAUAGUUUCUAUCAUUUUAAUGACUAUUGUUUCUCCAAUUUUUCAUGCUAAAAUUGUGUGCAGUAUAACUUGUGCAAUGAUGAAAGACACAGCGAAACCUUGUUUAUAUGGUGUCAGGCAACCAGGGGAGAAGCCAACAGAUGCUUGUUGUAAUGCUAUAUAUAGUCUAAACCUCCAAGCAACAACAACACAAGCUCGAAGAGAUCUCUGCCAGUGUUUUAAAGAUGUUAUAACUUCAUCUCCAUAUAUAAAACUUAUCGAUGUUCCUGCACUUUGUGAUAUUCCUCUACCUGUUCCUUUUACACCAUCGGUAGAUUGUCAAAGAAUUACAUUUUGAACUGACGAAGAAGAUGUAACGGG